UACGUAGGGGGCUAGCGUUGUCCGGAAUCAUUGGGCGUAAAGCGCGCGUAGGCGGCCCGGUAAGUCCGCUGUUAAAGUCAAAGGCUCAACCUUUGAAUGUCAGUGGAUACUGCCGGGCUAGAGUCCGGAAGAGGCGAGUGGAACUCCUGGUGUAGCGGUGAAAUGCGCAGAUAUCGGAAGGAACAUCAGUGGCGAAGGCGGCCACCUGGACCAGCACUGACACUGAGGCACGAAAGCGUGGGGAGCAAACAGG
rnacentral:rRNA from 1 species